rnacentral:lncRNA from 1 species
GGCAUCUUCUUUACAACAUAAAAUAGACGAGGUGUGUUCUUUGUCAAUUUCCCUUUGGCAUCUGAGACAGAAGGACGGAGCUCUGCCAAGGAAGCCAUGGUGUGUGGGGAAGCAGGAGGUCAGACAAACGACUGGAACCAUAUUUUGAAGGACAAGGAAGCAAGGAUUACUUCUGUCUAGUUUCUGAUCCCUCAGGAGGUAAGGCUACAAUGAAGGAUUAAACAUACCACUAUAUACAGCAUGUAUACAAUGUACAGAUACUGGCCUUAUCUUUCUGUGUGUCUUUUUUAAAUUUUCCCAAAACAUCUACUGUAAGACACCCUUUGUAUGACUGCUGAGUGGCACUAAAACUGGAAAAGGGCUAUAAACUUUAGCAGAGUCUCUGGGGCUGAGGGAGGCUAAUUGUUUGUUUGUUCUGUGUCUUUAUGGUUUAUCUAUGGCUCAGCUGCCAGGAAACCUAGACCAGCAGGAAAAAACUCCUCCUUCGCCAUCCUCUCCUUUCUGCUGCACACUCUGAAAAUAAAGCGGAGCAAGGACCUGUUCGUACAGAAUGGUUUGCUGCUUCAUGUGAUGUGCCUCUCACUCUGCUUAAAUCCAAGGAAUCAGAGAAGUUAGGGCUGGAGGAAAAUCAACUCAUCACCAUUAAGUUCACCUCCCGGAUUGAGCAGCAGGAAGUCCCCACUCUUGUUGUGAGUGCGUUUUCCGCAGCAGUGACUCUACCCAGAUCCUACAUAGAAGAUAGCAGAUGAUCUUGCCUGUCCCAAAAGCAAGAAGCAGAUGUCUGUUUGGAAGUUUUGUACUGGCGACCAUCACUAUGGUCCCACAUUAGUUAGCCUGGCAAUAGUAAGGUCCCUAGUGAAUUUCAUCGAGUCUCCAGCUUGUAUUUCCUCCCCCCCCCCCCCACGAUGCUAAAGGGCGUGGCUUCUCAAGCGAAAGGCCUGCCCACCUUGAAGUGUUCUGCCUCUUCUUCUCCCUUCUGUGUCCUUCCGGGUUGCCAGUUCAGUAGGUAUUUCUUUGCUAAUGAAGACAGCAGGAGUC